rnacentral:rRNA from 1 species
GCCGUUAAACCCCCAACUUCUGAAUGUUGACCUCGGAUCAGGUAGGAAUACCCG